UUUGACAACAACUUGUUUACUUGUGUUUAUUUUGUUCUAAAAUGGUUAAAAAAAAAAGAGUUAUUUGUAAUGCAUCUAGAAUUAAAAUAUGAUGACAUAUAAAGCUGAAAUGUAAAGCAAACUGUGCAGUUAAGGUUUAAAUAUAAGUCCAAUGAGUGCAGUCUAACACCCCUGGCCAACACAGCAGACACUUGAAAGAGGUUAAGAAUUUACCUCUGUGCACCUCUGCUGCAAAAGAGACUGUCCUGUUGAGGCGCCAACACAAGAGGAGAGAGUUGCGUAGUCCUAGACUGCGUAGUCCUAAAGAUGCGAACCAAUUUCAAAAUACACUAAUCAGGACACACUGUUCAUGUAUUCUCAGUGUUUUGUGUAAAUGCAUGUAGUUUUGGUGCACAAUCACACAACACAACUUACACUGAUUAAAGAGGCUAAAAACA